rnacentral:lncRNA from 1 species
AAAAUACACAAAUUAGCUGGGUGUGGUGACACACACAUAUAGUCCCAGCUAAUUAGGGGGCUGAGGUGGGAAGAUCACUUGAGCUCCAGGAGGUGGAGGCUGCAGUGAGCCAAGUUGGUGUCACUGUACUCUAGCCUGGGUGGCAAAGUGAGACCCUGUCUCAAUCAAUCAAUCAAUCAAUCAAUCAAUAUCUCAUGCUGUAAUUGUCUUCUGAUGUUUUCAUCCACCCAGCCCCACCUCUGCAGCCUUAAUUACUGGAGUAGGUCCAUGAUUUCAGUGUAGGGUUAAUGUAUUCUGCAGAUCAUCUUUGAUUUGACCUGCUUUUUUGCUUCCUUUUUAUCUCUGAACAAAGGAGAUCAUCAUUCUCUUUAAUCUGCCUUCUGUGUAAAUCUCUACCAGACUGGAAGCUCCCUGAAAGCAGAAACUGUCUGCUUCCCCAGAACUUAGCACUGUGCUUUCAUGUAUGUGGGAUAAAUUUUUACUUUGUUAGUGCAACUUUGUUUGUACACGUUAUCCUUGAUAUUACAUACAUUUGUUGAUGGGGGCAAUUUAUAUUUGUUGUGAGUAAAAUACUUUUUUGUUGGAUUAAGAAGAACUAUACUCUUCCCAGCACUUUGGGAGGCCAAGGAGGACGGAUUACCUGAGGUUAGUAGCUUGAGACCAGCCUGACCAACAUGGAGAAACCCCAUCUCUAUUAAAACUACAAAAAAAUUAGCUGUGCGUUGUGGCACAUGCCUGUAAUCCCAGCUAGUCAGGAGGCUGAGGCAGGAGAACCGCUUGAACCCCUGAGGCAGAGGUUGCGGUUGAGCCGAGAUCGCGCCAUUGCACUCCAGCCUGGGCAACAAGAGUUAAACUCCAUUUCAAAAAAACAAAAACAAAAACAAAAACAAAAAAACAAAAGAAGAACUACUCUGUAGUGAGAGCUAGAAUCCUCAUGUUGUUUAUUUAAAAUUUUUGGCCAAGUACAGUGGCUCAUGCCUGUAAUCCCAGCACUUUGGGAGGCUGAGGCCAGAGGAUCACUUGAAGCCAGGAGUUCAGUUACAGCUUGGGCAGCAAAGUGAGACCUUGUCUCUACAAAAAAAUUUUUUUUAAAUUAGCCAGGUGUGGUGGUAUGCCCCUGUAGUCCCAGCUACUCAGGAAACCGAAGCAGGAGAAUCGCUUGAACACAGGAGUUUGAGGGUGCUAUGAGCUAUGAUUGUGCCACUGCACUCCAGCCUGGGCAACAGGGCAAGGCCCUGUCUUAAUAAAAUAAAAUAAAAUUCUUAAUAUGUUUAUAUAUUUGAAAAACUAUUUGUGUAGAGACACAUGUCUGUAAAUACACAUAGAUAUAUUAACUUUUUAAGCUUUAAUUGAAGCCUUUCUCUUCACAGGUUUUAUAUAUUUGACUGCAGAUGACUAACAGAUUGAAUUUUAAGAGUGCGAAACACUCUGGUGCUAUAGGGAAGGAACUUCAUAAAUAGCCCCUCCUGUAAGGGACCAGUCUUUAAUUUAAAACAGUCCAGCCCAGGAAUCUUGCAAGAAUUUUGUAAUUAUUUGAGGAGAGAUGUAGAUAUACCCUGGAGUUCUUUGACUUUAAGUUAUUCUAGAGUCAUCCCAGAGAUGGCCUAGAAGACUUGAAUGUACCCCAAAGGAUUCUGAAUCCCUUUGGGAAAUUUAGACUAUGAUUUUCAGUAAGAAUUAAAAGCCCCAGGAUAAGCGUGGUGGUUCACACCUGUAAUCCCAGCAAUUUGUGAGGCCAAGGCGGGAGGAUCGCUUGAGCUCAGGAGUUCGAGACCAGCCUAGGCAACAUAGUGAGACCCCACCCAUCUCAAUUUAAAAAAAGAGAGAAAAAGGCCAGGUGUAGUGGCUCACGCCUGUAAUCCCAGCACUUUGGGAGGCCAAGGCGGGUGGAUCACCUGAGGUCAGGAGUUCAAGACCAGCCUGAUCAAUAUGGUGAAACCCCAUCUCUACUAAAAAUACAAAAAUUAGCCAGUCCUGAUGGCAUGUGCCUGUGGUCCCAGCGACUUGGGAGGCUGAGACAGGAGAAUUGCUUGAACCCGGGACGUGGAGGUUGCAGUGAGCCGAGAUUGGGCCACUGCAUUCCAGCCUGGGUGAGAGAGCGAGACUCUGUCUCAAAAAAAAAAAAGAGAGAGAGAGAGAGAGAGAGAGAAAGCCCCAAACAUACCUUGGGCCUUUACAACCUACUUGGUCCCAGAAUCGUCUUAUUGUAAACCCAAAGCCAGGUCUUCUGGUUCGAACCAGUCAAAAUGGGUAAUCUAAAAAAGUUAAAUAGAUGAUUCAAAAUCGUGUUGGUGGUUUUUUCUUUUUAAAUCCCCUUUCCAAGUAAAAGGAAUCUUUUUUUUUUUUUUAAGUUUUGAAGCCUCAUAGCCAUAAAUAUUUUGGCACCAGCAUCUAUUGGCACCUAAGUCAUUGGCUGUAUCAUAUUCCCAUGGGACCCUUGUUCCUAGAGGAAUGCAGGAAUGAUCUUGGAGUGGGAAGGACAGAAACAGGUGCUUGCAAAAUCAGAUAUUUCUGAAAUUCUCUGUUAUUCUAUUUCUACUGUCUUUCCCCACUUUACUAUAAAUUUGAUCUGUUAUAAAAUGGCUGUGUUUAGAUAGAUACCCGUGAUGUUUAGGAAACAAAUGAUAUAGAGACUCCCAUUUAAAUGAAUCUUAUCUUUAUAAGAAACAGCCAAACUGUUUUCCAGACUGGCUAUACCAUCUUACAUUCCCACCAGGAAUGUAUGAGUGAUCCAGUUUCUCUGCAUGCUCGCCAGCAUUUGGUGUUGUCACUAUUUCUUAUUUCAACCAUUCUGUUUAUCCUUUUCAGUGAAAUAUCUGUUCAUAUCUUUUGCCCAUUUGCCAAUUGAGGCAGGAGGAUCACUUGAGCCCAGGAGUUCGAGGCUGCAGUGAGAUAUGAUCACUAAAUGUUUGCUUAAUGAGCCAUAUCUUUAAAUAUCUUUUUUAAAGUUUUUAAAAGUCAGUCCAGUGGUUUAUGUGAUUAUGUGGGAUUUUUUAAAUCUUUCCAGGCAAAAUGUGUAUAGCAUUUUGAACAUAUUUACACUGUACUGAGCCCAAGAGUUCUCAUAUUCUUUCUUUGCUCAUUAUAGAGUAUGGUACUAAUACUGUAUAAUAGUAAAUUUUCAAAGAUACCUUUAUUUAGAAUGUUAGAGUAUACAGAUAUAUACUUUGUACAUAGUUAUCAUAAUGUUUCUAACCUUUUUAUUUAAAGCAGGCUGAUUUGUGUAAAGGUUUCAGAAUGAUUUUGUUAAUAAGUUAUUAGAAACUUUCCUAUUUGUACAAGAUGGUAAAUGUAGAUUCCAAUUUGUAUGCCUCAGUAAAUUCAUAAUCUUAUUUCUCUGAUGUGAGCCACUGUGCCUGGCCUUCUGUGAUGCUCUUAAUGAAUUUUGCAGUUUUAUUAAAUUGUCAUUGAGAACCUCAUAAAUCAUUGUUAAGAUCUAUACAAAAAAUCAAGGAUCCACAGUAAUAGAAUAUUUUUCAUCUGCAUAUGAAUUUUUCCCUUCCCUUUUUGUCUACUUUUAGAUUUAAAAAAAAUUACCAGGACAUUCUUAUUAAAUACUAUUACCUGUUUUGGUUUCUGCACAUUAAGAAAGUCACAGAGAAGCCAGACACAGUGGCAUGCUCUUCUAUUCCCAGCUACUCAGGAGGCUGAGGCUGGAGAAUCACUUGAGCCCAGGAGUUUGAGGAUAUCCUGGGCAACAUGGUGAAACUUGGCAAAAACAAAAACAAGGCCGGGCAUGGUGGCUCACACGUGUAGUCCCAGCACUUUGGGAGGCCACGGCUGGCGGAUCACGAGGUCAGGAGAUCGAGACCAUCCUGGCUAACAUGGUGAAACCCUGUCUCUACUAAAAAUACAAAAAAUUAGCCAGGCGUGGUGGCGGGUGCCUGUACUCCCAGCUACUCGGGAGGCUGAGGCAAGAGAAUGGCAUGAACCCAGGAGGCGGAGCUUGCAGUGAGCUGAGAUCGCGCCACUGCACUCCUGCCUGGGUGACAGAGUGAGACUCCAUCUCAAAAAAAAAAAACAAAAACAACAACAACAACAACAAAAAACAACCAGAGAAAUAGCACUUGUUAACUACAAUUGUGACUCUAGGUAAACUUGGGCCUUAAUAUGGUUAGACAAGAAGGGUUUUAGGUAACUUGCCUUUUUAGAUCCUAUUUAGGCUUAUUAGUCUAUAUUCUACAUUCUUGCACGAUGGAAAUUACUAGAGAAGUGGGAUAAUUCUUUGUUGUGGGGAAAAUAAAAUUUGUUGUGAAAAUAUACUGUAUUUUAAAAUAUUUAGAAAGAUUAUAAAUAACUGGAGAAAAGAUAAUUUCAUAUACUAAUAUGAUGGAAUUAGCCUAGCAGAUGUUAAAAAUCCUUUCUGAAAAUUAUAAUCUAAAAUUAUUUGGGAAAUUACAAUGGAACUGAAUAAUCUGUACGUUGGUAUAUUAAAGCCAUUUUUAUAUUGUG